ACCGGGUCCAGGCAACGCCAGCGCCGCUUUCCUUAGACCCGUUCCACCAUCUCGGCCGUACACCGCACGACCAACCCCCGCCCCCGUCGCUGGGCUCCGGCGAGGCCCGCCGGCGGUCGCCCGUGAGCUCCGCAGCUAGGCUUCUCCUCUCCGCCAUCCCGCAGCAUCUCCUCUUCCUCUCACGAGCUAUCUCGCGCGUGCUCAAGCUCCAACCCGACCCCGCUGUGCCCUAGCGCUGCCGCCGUGCGCCGUAGCUUAGCGUGACCGCCUCCGCCGACGCAUCCGCCUCUCACGCGCGUCGCCGAGAUUGCCUCUUGCGCUAUACCUCGCGGCGUCCCUGCUAUCUCCGCCCCGUCCGCAGCCUCGCACAUUUGGUUUUGAGAUCCGGUCCCUGAUGCUGUUCACAUGAAGGCUGGUGGAACUGCUUGAGUAGAAAUGGAUAGCAUACCGGGCUCUCAAGAGGAAUUGCUUCGAAUGAGGAAAAAUGGUGAGGUAGGAAAGAAGGGGGAAGACCAUCGAAAUGCCUUGAGCCGCAAGGAGGCGACCGAGGAGCUUAUCGGUUGCAUGGUCCACAGCGAGGAAGAGGCAUACAAGCUGUACUGCGACUAUGGACAUCGAAUCGGUUUUAGUGUCCGGAAGGGCAAGCAGUCCUACUUCAUUGGUACCAGGGACAUCCGGACAAAAGAUUACUAUUGCUCAAAGGAAGGGCUUAAGUACGACGAGCCUGUCACAGAAGCGAAUUUCAACCGGCCAGACACAAGAACGAAUUGCAAGGCGAUGGUCCGCUUUAGAGUCGAUGAGAAAGGGCGUUGGACCGUCAUACGCUUUGUUCCCCUGCACAAUCACCAGUUGGCUAAACCUGGGGAGAGGCAUCUGUUGAGAUCCGCAAAGUCAUUUGCUGUUGGAAAAUCAGGUGUUAUAGAUCCAGCAGAAUCUGCUGAAUCACAUGCAGGGAAUGGUUCCUCUGAUAGGACCGUGGGUGAUAUUAGUGAGCCUCCAGGCUACACUACAAGGGAUUGCUACAAUCAUGACAACGUGCAGAAUAUAACGCUAAUUGGGGCAGGAGACAGCCAAAGCCUUGUAAGCUACUUCAAGCGUAGAACCAACGAGGAAGGAAUGUUCUAUUGGGAUGUCCAAGUUGAUCAAGAAGGCCGCAUGACUAACUUCUUCUUCAGGGAUGGUAAAAGUAGAAGUGAUUAUGACUGCUUUGGAGAUGCUGUUAUAUUUGACACAACCUACCGCACAAAUAAAUAUAGCCUGAUAUGUGCCCCUUUUGUUGGAGUUAACCACCAUUGGCACAAUGUUGUUUUUGGAUUCGCAUUCCUGUUAGAUGACUCCACAGCUUCCUAUGUUUGGCUAUUUAAAUCAUUUUUGGAGUCAAUGGGUGGCCGAUCACCAAAAUCGAUUUUCACUGACCAGGAUGAGGCUAUUAUGCAGGCAGCCGAGCAGGUGUUUCCUAACACGCAGCAUUGCUUCUCCUACUGGCAUAUUCUGAAGAAUGCACAGUCUCAUUUAGGCACUGUAAAUACUUCUCAAGCAUUUCAAAAUAUGUUUAUGAAGUGCAUGCAAGGAUGUGACACAGAAAUGGAGCUUCAGGAAUCUUGGGAUGCUAUGCUUGAUGAAUACAAACUACAGGAUAAUGAUUGGCUUAAUGGCCUUUAUAAGUUUCAUAACAGAUGGUGCUCGGUAUUUAACAAAGAUACUUUUGAUGGUGGGAUCAAUUCAUCCCAGUGGGGAGAAGUCUCAAACAAUAUCCUCACUGGAGUUGCUGAUGAAUCUACUUCUAUAACAAGAUUUGCUCUCUUGCUGGAAAAGGUUGUGAAAACACUACGUAGAAAUGAGUCAGAAGAGGAUUUUCGCUGCAGCCAAACUGCUCCAGUUCGUGCAAUCAAGCACAGUACAGUUCUGAAGCAGGCUGCGGAAUCUUAUACACAUAGGAUGUACAAGUUAUUUGAGGCUGAAUUUCUGGAUGGAUGUGGAGCAACUUCAUGUCAUGAAAAUUCCUGUGGUGGAAGCUUAUUGAGGUUUGAAAUAACAAUGCAGGGCAGGGGUUCAAAAAUGUGGACUGUUCUUCUUGAUACAUCCACAAUGGAAAUCUCUUGUGGUUGCGGAAAGUUUGAAAGGAUGGGCCUUCUUUGUUCUCAUGCUCUGAAAGCCUUCAGCCUGCAGAAUGUGGAUAUGGUUCCUGAAAAGUACAUCUUGAAACGAUGGACGAAAGAUGCCAGGAGAAGCAUGUAUAAUCUCAGUCAAGAAGAUUCAACACAACAAGAAUGUACCGAGGCUGAACUUGCGUAUCGCAAUCGCGCAAUGCAGUAUGCGUAUAACCUUGCAUUGAAGAGCCAGGAACUGGAAGAAGCAAGAAAGAUAUUCUGGGACUCCCUUGAAACAGGAGAGAAGGCACUUGAAGUGUUCUUCGAAAUGAGAAAUCUGCACGCUCAAUCUGCCAAAGACGCCAGUACAAGGGAGAAGAAGAAGAAGAAAAUACCUAAAGGACCAAGCACCAGUAAAAAAAGCAAAGCAAGCCCUGGCAUCUUCCUCGGCUGCUCCAGUACUAACCGCCCAAACUAGUGAGCAGCAGUUUCAAUCUGCACAAGAUGCAAAUGGUAAUGCAACCAUUGGAAGAUCAUAUUACUAUCAGGUUUUUCCAACUCCUAUGCAACCAAACCAGAUCUUCAUGCAUCCGAAUACAAUGCCUGUUUGUGCACCACAGGAUUUGUCAGCAUAUGCUGCGGUGCGUCCUAAUUCAAAUUUCGGCGGCGCGAAGAACAUCUAAAGGACACAAGGGUCUGCUAGAUGUGUUUCUUUACAAUUUUUUGUUGGAGAUGGCUACUGCCAAGUACCCAGCCCUGCAAGUACCAACCGCCGGGCGUGGAUCUUUUGUCGAACCGUUACAGAGGGAUCAUGGUUCCAGCGAUGCUGCUCUUGAGAGGAGUGGCUAUUCUGUCCUGUGCCAUUUCUUUUCUACCGAGGGUGGAGUCUAGGAUUAAUUAGGCAUCCCAUUUGCGGUGUGACCUUUUGGGCGUAGGCAAUUAUAGCAUGUAAGUUGUAAUUGUACAUGAGUAGCCAUUAAUUAGCUAUUAACAGGACCGCUGGAUGGAGUCCAGGAACCCUUGGCCGAGAAACGCAAUAUGGUGUAAUUUUCAACAAGAGCAAAAUUGCUCUUCAUUUCUUGCUCGAGUUGGAGCAGGAGGAAUGCGAGGCCUCGGCAAUCUCUGCAAGCUGACCUUGAGUGCUUUGUGUUGUUACCAAAUUGUUCUAGACCAUGAUUAACAUGAUUAAGAUUCUCAGGCUGGUUCUAUAUUUGAUGGACGGCGCUUGCA